UGUAUAGGAGGUGAACUUGCUUGCAUACCCAGGAAAGAUCACAAGUAUCCAGCCCCACAGAAAUACUGUAUUAUUGUUGUCACUCCGAGACCAGAAGAGCUUUUUGAAGAAGUUAUCUACCGUAGAGAGGAGCUGCAAUACUUAGUAAUUUCUGCAGAAUGGCCUCAUAGAAAUAUGGUUCCCGAAUUAAUAAAGACUUACAAAGUCAGCUGUGAUAAUGGAACUGGAUAAACUUUAUUCAUAUGAGAGUGAGAAAAAAAAGGAUCCGAAAUCAGAUGUUCAUGAAGGCAAACUGAGCGAGUUCUGUGCUGAUUAUUGUGGGUUUCGGCCUCACUGCUCCCAUUCUGCAUCUGCAAGAUGCAGUCUGUCAGCUAUGCUUUAUCAACCUCGCUGUGCUGUUGUGUCAUCGGAGAGCUAUGGGGCCAAGGUCCAUUUGAGAAAGUUGCAGCAGCAUGGAGGACU